GUAUGCUUUGGGGACGAAAGAGAGAAUGCUAAUUGGCGCGAUGGCUAGUGGUGUGUUGUAAUUUGUGCCCGAGGAGUUUGUGUGUAUUGGUUGGUGAAAUGUGAUUAUUUUAUUCCUAUUAACUUCAGUUUAGUGUCCAGUGAAGUGAAGUGUUGUAGAAAAUGUAGUGGUGUACAGACUCUAUCCCGAAACCGACUCAUCGAAAUUUUUUUGAUUUUGUUAAAUGUCAUCAUCUGUAGCAGUCGUGACUCGAGCGUGAUUUCACUUCAGACGUAGAGUUAAAUAAUGUCAUCGCUUCAGAAGAAAGUUCUUAAAACUAAUCUCCCUCCUUGCCCGUCUGUUGCAAGAAGGCGCCUUGCAGUGGGCAGUAAACGUGAUUACGCUCCCACAAAAUGGAAUAAAUAUUUCAGUGAAUAUGAAGAUGUGCAUGUUCGAGAAAACACAUUUCGUGUGUAUAAGCGAGGUGACAGUGGUCCUGCUUUGGUUUUAUUACAUGGUGGAGGAUUCUCUGCACUUACUUGGGCAGUCUUUUCAGCAUCGGUGACAAACUUGGUUGCGUGCCGAGUUCUGGCUAUUGACCUGAGGGGCCAUGGCGACAGUGAAACGACAGAUGAUGAGGACCUGUCUGCUAAGACAAUGGCAAGUGACGUUGGAGAUACUAUAAGCAUGCUGUAUGGCACUGAUGCUCCCCCAGUAAUUUUGAUUGGACACAGCAUGGGUGGGGCAAUUGCAGUUCAUGUUGCUGCUGCUGAUUUAAUACCAUCACUUUGUGGACUAGUGGUAAUAGAUGUUGUUGAAGGGACUGCUAUGGAUGCUCUUACAAGUAUGCAGAGUUUCUUACGUAGCCGCCCCACUGGGUUCAAAUCAAUAGAACAAGCUGUCGAAUACAGUGUUCGUAGUGGACAAGUCAGAAAUUUGGAGUCAGCUAAAGUUUCUAUGCCUGGCCAAAUAAAGAACUGUGUUACUAACAAGGCAGCUACAAAUGACCUUAAUUUGUAUGAACCUUCAGAGGAAUCACUCGUUGCUGAGAUAUUAUCUUCCGAGAAUGUUAUCCAAGAAGAACCAAGUGGAGAAGAAAAUGACAACACUUCUUGUAGUGGUACAAAUGCAACUCAUCGUACCAAAGACUCUUCAGAUACAGAUGAUACGUGGGAACAACAAAGCUGUUCUGUCCAAGAAAAGAAACGCAGUAGAACAGCUGACAAAUAUACGUGGCGAAUAGACCUAGCAAAGACAGAGAAAUAUUGGUCUGGAUGGUUCAAAGGACUGUCUAACAUUUUUUUGAAUUGUCCAGUGCCAAAAAUGUUAUUGUUGGCUGGAAUAGAUAGGCUGGACAAAGAGCUCAUGGUUGGGCAAAUGCAAGGUAAAUUCCAGUUGCAAGUUUUGGGACAGUGUGGCCAUGCUGUGCAUGAAGAUGUUCCAGAAAAACUAGCAGAUAUAAUGGCAUCAUUUAUGGUGAGAUAUAAAUUUGCAGAGCCAACAGCAAACUUUCAGCGGACUUUCCCUGCAUGCUAAAAAAUAAGAAAGAGUACAAGAAGACAAGAAACUGGGAAAUGCAAUGUGUUCUGAGGUGGAGAAAUUGGCUGACAGUUCUGCUCUCAGAAGAUGCAUUUGAUGCAGAAGUUCUUCCAGCUCCUUUGGGUAAAGCUUUUUAUCUCUGCAAGUACACAGCU
rnacentral:misc_RNA from 1 species